rnacentral:lncRNA from 1 species
CCAUCGUCAGUCAUAUGCAAGAUUGGCUUGACUCGAGUUCAUUUGUGAAUCCUAUGGAAACUCUUUUUCAGUAUUCACACUUGUUUUUACCAAAAGACUUUCUAAACUCAGUCUCACAAAUUACAUAAGACUUCUUCUUUUCUACCAAGGUUGAUAGAUUCUAUCUAGGUGCAUCCUACUCCAAACAACGAACCUAAACCUACUGAAGCCAACAUACAC